UUCCGGGCGUCUGCGCUCCGAGCAGAUGCCCGCAGCUUCCCAAGGUGGAUGGUAUUGCACAGGUCUUGCCUCAGAGGCUUUUUAAAAAGUAGAACUGGUCGCAGCUCCUCUACAGUUCUCCGCCGACAGCGACUCCAUAGCUUCCGAGCCAGCUGUUUCCAGCUGUGCUGCCCAAAUUGAGGAACUCUAAUUCGUCUGAAGUGGCUGUGGGAGCUCACGACUCGAAUCUGCGAAUAGUUCACUCCGUCCUGGUUCUGCAGGUCCGCUUUCCCAGCUGAGACGUUGGCUUUGGUUUCUCACCCCAGUUUUGCUCAUUCCACACAUGCUUUGCAGUGUGCAAAUGCUAGGGUGUUUAUAUAUAGAUUGCUAUCUUCUGGGGGUGGUGGGGUAGGGGAGAAGGAUUUAGAAAGAAGGUUGGGGUAAUGAACCUAUUACAAGAAAAUGGAGAUGUGAUUCCAAACAUUGGAUAAAAGUAUCUGCAGUUGUUUUGGCCGAGAUGCAUUUCAUUUAGAAUGAGCUUUAUGGGAGGACUUAUUUUCAAACCACAAAAUUAAAUUUUGAGUGGUGUGCGUAUAUUUUAAAAAGCUGAACUAAGUGCUGUACGUUCUGUUUUGGAGAGGAGGCCCAGGAAACGGGAGGUCUUUUUUUGUUUUGUUUUUAUCUGUUCUAUUUGCCAUGAAUUUAAAAUUUUUUUAACUUCGUUUUAAAUAGGACUAUCCACACAACCAUUGUACUGUAACAUUAACUGUUGUAUAACGUGAAUGUCGAGCAUUGUUUACCCCAAUGCCUCAACCCAGAAGUGUUCCAAAUUUCAAUAAUUUUUUUAAUUUUGGGAUGUGUCAUAUACAUGACAUAUCUGAGGAUGAGACCCAAAGCUAAACGUGGAAUUCGUGUUUGUUUGCAUCCUAUGAACAUAGCCAAGGCAAUUUUACGUCAUAUUUUAGUGUUUCUUGUGUUUCCACUAGCCCUGAGUCAGGAAUCAUUUGUAGAGUAGAAAGUAUGCUAAUAUUAAGUAAGACAGCAGGAGUUUUUUCCAAACCACCAAAGAGUAACAUUUUUGGACUUUUAAGAAGUCUUAGUGUUUGCCCUGGAAGACUUUUUUGUCAUAAACUGGUCCUGGGAAUUGAAACCAGCUGUGAUGAUACAGCAGCUGCUGUAGUGGAUGAAGCUGGACAUGUGUUGGGAGAAGCAAUGCAUUCCCAGACCGAGGUUCAUUUAAAAACAGGUGGGAUUGUUCCUCCAGUAGCUCAACAGCUUCACAGAGAAAAUAUUCAGCGAAUAGUAGAAGAAACUCUUUCUGCUGGUAGACUCUCUCCACAAGACCUCUCAGCGGUGGCAACUACCAUCAAACCAGGGCUGGCCCUAAGCCUGGGCGUAGGCUUAUCAUUCAGCUUACAGCUAGUAAAUCAGUUUAAAAAGCCAUUCAUUCCUAUUCAUCAUAUGGAGGCUCAUGCACUUACAAUUAGGCUAACCAAUAAAGUAGAAUUUCCUUUUCUAGUUCUUUUGAUUUCUGGAGGUCACUGUCUGUUGGCAUUAGUCCGAGGUGUGUCGGAUUUUCUGCUUCUCGGGAAGUCUUUGGACAUAGCACCAGGUGACAUGCUUGACAAGGUGGCAAGAAGACUUUCUUUAAUCAAACAUCCAGAAUAUUCUACGAUGAGUGGUGGGAAGGCUAUAGAACAUUUGGCCAAACAAGGAAAUAGAUUCCAUUUUACUAUCAAUCCUCCCAUGCAGAAUGCUAAAAAUUGCGAUUUUUCUUUUACGGGACUUCAGCAUGUUAUUGAUAAGCUAAUAACGCGCAAGGAGAAAGAAGAAGGCAUUGAGAAGGGGCAAAUCCUGUCUUCAGCUGCAGACGUUGCUGCUGCGGUGCAGCAUACAACAGCGCGCCACCUUGCGAUGAGAACACAUCGUGCUAUUCUGUUUUGCAAGCAAAAGGAUCUGUUACCUCCAGCUAACGCAGUAUUAGUUGUAUCUGGAGGUGUUGCAAGUAACUUGUAUAUCCGAAGAGCGUUGGAAAUUGUAGCAGAUGCAACACAAUGCACUUUGUUGUGUCCUCCUCCAAGACUGUGCACUGAUAAUGGCAUUAUGAUUGCAUGGAAUGGGAUUGAAAGAUUACGUGCUGGCUUGGGCAUUUUACAUGAUGUAGAAGACAUCCGAUAUGAACCAAAAUGUCCUCUUGGAGUAGACAUAUCCAAAGAAGUUGCAGAAGCUGCCAUAAAAGUACCACGAUUAAAAAUGACAAUUUGAUUGGUGAUUAUCAAAGGUCUCUACAGGAGAGUAGAAGCUAGUUUUUGACCGCUACUACAGUAGACUGACUUCUUCAAUGAGAGCAGUUUUAAAAUCAAGCCAGGUCUCAGCUGUAUCUAAUCACAGACUCCUGAGUUAUGACAGAACUUGACCAACAGAAUAUGGACUUUACUGGCUAAAGGACCCCAGCAUCCACAUGGCAGCUCCCAAGUGUCCAGAACUCCAGUUCCAAUGGAUCCAGCAUCCUUUUCUGACCUCCUAGGGCACCAAACAUGCAUGUGGAACACAAACAUAAAUGCAAGCAAAACACUCAUACACGUAACAUUUUAAAAAUUGAUAAUAAAUCUUAAUUUGUUUAAAGGAAAAAUGUUGCUAUGUCUACUGAUUUUGCCAUGAGAUGUUUCUAUAUACUGGACCAAGUUGUUAAUUUUGUGAACUUUCUAGUCUUUGGUGACAUGUUUUAUUGAAAAGCUAGAGAAGGUAAAGAUAAAAAAUUUAGCAUAGAAAAAACUUUUUUUUCAGGUGCCUCACUUUAGAGUAUUCCAAUAGUAGAAUUACAGGCAUAUACCACCAUUCUUAUCUAGAAUGGAAACGUCUCUUAUUUUAGUCCUAUUUUAAGCUAGCUUCUCAGAAAGUUCCAUAAGCAAUUCUUUAGUUCAAUUUAUGAUCACCUACUUUCUCCUAGAAAUGGAGCAACUGGAAACAGCCAUUACUUAAAAUAGCUUUUUAUUCUUUGUUAUUAGUUUGCUGUUGUAUAAUAGGAUUGGUAAAGAAGUAACAGGUAAAAGCAACAACUAGUUCAGGAAUUCACAUUUUACAUUUGGAUUUGCAUUUUGUAUAUGUGAUUAUAAAUUAACAAACUCCUUUCAUGUGACUACUGCUGUCAGGACAUAUAAAUUAUAGAAGAAAAUUUAUGAAAAUUUAUAUUAUGAAUAUACUCAUAAUCUGUGUUUUGAAAAUGUUAAAAGUUGUUCCAAGUGCUAUAAUCAUGCACGUAUGUCAAAAUUACUAAUUAUUUCAUGAUACAAGUAAGGGGAAAGUAUAGCUAAAGAAAAUGUGUGAACCCUAGACAGCAGCCAUGUCUCUAAUCCUUGAAUACUUGGCUUUGAGAAGGUUGGGAUAAGGGAGCAACACUGAAUUCUGUUGAUGAACACAUGCCAAAUUUACCUUACAGUGAAGCAAAGGUAAAUUAGCUUAGUGGGUCACUGAAAUCAAAUGGGGGUUUGUUUGUUGUUUUGUAUUCUUUUGUUUUUGAGACAGUCUCACUCUGUGGCCCAGGCUUGUCUAGGACUCACUAUAUAGCUCACACUGGUCUUGAACUCUUAGCAAGCCUCCUGCAUGAACCUCCCACAUCCUUGAUUACAGCACAUCUGGUAAUGCUCAGUAUGUCCUCGAGGCUUUUUUGUAUAUAAUUUUUAAAAGAAAACAAUACAAUAAUAAAAAUUAAUUUUGAAGAGUUGAGGGUAUCCUCCCCAUGUUCAGAGAGCUAUGCCAGAGAGGAAGCAGAAAGACUGCAAGAAUCAGAGGGGAUGGAUGACUCUACGGGAACAGUGGCCUCCAAACACAACAGACUGAUGUACAUAUGUGCUCAGAGAGAUGUGGCAGCAUGCAUGGGGCCUGCACAGGUCCGAGCCAGAUAGAGUCCCAGUGCAGAGAGGGGAAGUGGACAUGAACUCACAUCUGAACCAAGAAGUUCUCUCCAACUGAUAAUCCAUUUGCAUAGGAAAAAUUAGUUUUCUCCAACGGAGUUUCACUGGGUGUGUUAACCACACUUCAGGAUAGGUCCCGUGCCCAGCAGUAGAUGGUCAACACAAAAUGGACUCAAUGGCAUAUUUGUAGACUUUCUGUCUCAUGUUGGUUUGAUUGGGCAUUUUUGUUUGUUUGUUUUGUUUUACUGGUCUUUUGCUUAUAUAUUGUGGAUCCAAUUUUAUGUUUUUAUAGGUUUGUGUGUGUUUGUUUCUUGUGUUUACUUUUUUAAAAAGUUCUGGUUUGUUUGGAGUUUUUGUUGUUAUUUGCCUAUUUGUUUCCUAAUAAGAAAAAGGGUG